GGCCGAGUGGCGGAAUGGCAGACGCACGGGACUUAAAAUCCCGGGACCGGUUUCGGUCGUACGGGUUCGAGUCCCGUCUCGGCUA
rnacentral:tRNA from 1 species